rnacentral:antisense_RNA from 3 species
AGCACCUAGACCUAACAAAAUUAAGUGAAUACCCAAAAUUGUAGUCAUUUUAUUUCUAUCUUUCCA